rnacentral:rRNA from 1 species
AGAGUUUGAUCCUGGCUCAGGAUGAACGCUGGCGGCGUGCCUAACACAUGCAAGUCGAGCGAACCCUUCGGGGUGAGCGGCGGACGGGUGAGUAACGCGUGGGUAACCUGCCCUAUACACACGGAUAACGUACCGAAAGGUACGCUAAUACGAGAUAAUAUAUUUUUAUCGCAUGGUAGAAAUAUCAAAGCUCCGGCGGUAUAGGAUGGGCCCGCGUCUGAUUAGCUAGUUGGUAAGGUAAUGGCUUACCAAGGCGACGAUCAGUAGCCGACCUGAGAGGGUGAUCGGCCACAUUGGAACUGAGACACGGUCCAAACUCCUACGGGAGGCAGCAGUGGGGAAUAUUGCACAAUGGGCGAAAGCCUGAUGCAGCAACGCCGCGUGAGCGAUGAAGGCCUUCGGGUCGUAAAGCUCUGUCCUCAAGGAAGAUAAUGACGGUACUUGAGGAGGAAGCCCCGGCUAACUACGUGCCAGCAGCCGCGGUAAUACGUAGGGGGCUAGCGUUAUCCGGAAUUACUGGGCGUAAAGGGUGCGUAGGUGGUUUCUUAAGUCAGAGGUGAAAGGCUACGGCUCAACCGUAGUAAGCCUUUGAAACUGAGAAACUUGAGUGCAGGAGAGGAGAGUAGAAUUCCUAGUGUAGCGGUGAAAUGCGUAGAUAUUAGGAGGAAUACCAGUUGCGAAGGCGGCUCUCUGGACUGUAACUGACACUGAGGCACGAAAGCGUGGGGAGCAAACAGGAUUAGAUACCCUGGUAGUCCACGCCGUAAACGAUGAGUACUAGCUGUCGGAGGUCACCCCCUUCGGUGGCGCAGCUAACGCA